UGUUGGUAAUCAUCCUUUAUCUGAUUCAAUUUAAUCCAGCAAAUUUUGAUAGGUAGAGGGAUUACUGAUCACAUCUGCAAUUACAGUUAGAAUUACAUUAUAUUAAACUAAGCAAAAACACCACUUGUUUUAUAAGAUUACUAGCAUCUCCUUAGAAGAUUCAUCGAGCACCUGCAGCCCCUUUUUCUUGUUCAAGACCAUUUUAGUUAUAUGGUCAACAGUUGGUUAUCCU
rnacentral:lncRNA from 1 species